AACGAACGCUGGCGGCAUGCCUAACACAUGCAAGUCGAACGAGACCUUCGGGUCUAGUGGCGCAAGGGAGCGUAACGCGUGGGAAACUGCCCUUAGGUUCGGAAUAACUCCCCGAAAGGGGUGCCAAUACCGGAUAAUGUCUUCGGACCAAAGAUUUAUCGCCUUUGGAUGGGCCGGCGUUGGAUUAGCUAGUUGGUAGGGUAAAAGCCUACCAAGGCGACGAUCCAUAGCUGGUCUGAGAGGAUGAUCAGCCACACUGGGACUGAGACACGGCCCAGACUCCUACGGGAAGCAGCAGUGAAGAAUAGUGGACAAUGGGCGAAAGCCUGAUCCAGCAAUGCCGCGUGAGUGAUGAAGGCCUUAGGGUUGUAAAGCUCUUUUACCCGGGAUGAUAAUGACAGUACCGGGAGAAUAAGCUCCGGCUAACUCCGUG
rnacentral:rRNA from 1 species